UACAGAGGGGGCAAGCGUUGCUCGGAAUCACUGGGCGUAAAGGGCGCGUAGGCGGCGUGGUAAGUCAGAUGUGAAAUCCCGGGGCUCAACCCCGGAACUGCAUCCGAUACUGCCGUGCUUGAGGGUUGGAGAGGUAGCUGGAAUUCUCGGUGUAGCAGUGAAAUGCGUGGAUAUCGAGAGGAACACUCGUGGCGAAGGCGAGCUACUGGACAACAUCUGACGCUGAGGCUCGAAGGCCAGGGGAGCAAAAGGG
rnacentral:rRNA from 1 species